rnacentral:tRNA from 1 species
GGGGUCAUAGCUCAGUUGGUAGAGCGUUUGAAUGGCAUUCAAAAGGUUGGGGGUUCGAUUCCCCCUGGCUCCA